UACGUAGGGUGCGAGCGUUAAUCGGAAUUACUGGGCGUAAAGCGUGCGCAGGCGGUUUUGCAAGCCGGAUGUGAAAUCCCCGGGCUUAACCUGGGAAUGGCAUUUGGGACUGCAAGGCUGGAGUGCGGCAGAGGAGACUGGAAUUCCUGGUGUAGCAGUGAAAUGCGUAGAUAUCAGGAGGAACACCGAUGGCGAAGGCAGGUCUCUGGGCUGACACUGACGCUCAUGCACGGAAGCGUGGGGAGCAAACAGG
rnacentral:rRNA from 1 species